ensembl:lncRNA
AUUGGAAUCAUCUGAGGAACUUAAAAAAAUACUGACACUUGGAUCCAGAGAUCCUGAUUUAGUUGGUGUGGGAUGGGGCCAGGGCUUCUAAUUUUAACGUGCAGCUGAGAUUAGAGACAUCGUAAAUGCUUUCAAGUGUUGAGAGUAACUGAUCAGGGAUCUUCUAUUGACAAGCUCUCUUCUCCCCAUCCCCACCCUAUUCACUUUGCUAAUAGAAAAAGGACUUUAAUUCAGAAAUGAAGAGAGACAUCAGCUGGGCUUUCAAAGGCAGGGAGGAAAUCCUCGUGGCUUAUAAAAGCCACUCUAAAGACUCUUGCAGACAUCUUGUGAACAGUUUGUAGGUCUGGGCAGAGGCGUGCCUGUAGCCGAGAGGGGUGGAGCCGGGAUAGUAACGAGUUGUCUGUCGUUGGACAAGUUGUAAGAGUCUCCAGAAGUUAAAGGAGUCUUAGGAAAUAUGGGUCUUGAUAGAUAAGAGGCAUGUAAUAGGAAAUAGGGGAUACUGUGGCAAACUGGAGACUGGGCACCCCCGAAGAAGGGCAGCUCAUGCUGUCAUGCAAAAAUAGGAGCCAGGUGGUGGAAGAUGUCCUAAUUUUUCAAGAUGAGAAAAAAUGAGUCAGAGAGGUGAAGUGACUUUAUCAAGAUUGCACAGCUAGUUCCUGCAGAAGCCAAGUCAACAGAAGCUGGAAAACUGUCUUGCUGUUUUAUCCUGCCCCCUUGAUGAUGAUCUUUAACUCCAACUGGAUUAUGAGUCACGAGGCCGGGGAUCAUACACAUAAUACACAUCUCAUACACAUGAGUAGAGUGCCUUGUCCAUGGCACCCUGCAAUAAACCGUCUCAAUGUCCACGUCUGGCCCUGUUGGGGUUUGAUUGCACAGGAAAGCAGAGGAAUGUUAGAAUCCUUGGAAGAAUCCAACACAAAGCGAUGUCUAUUUGAAGCCACAUGUCUUUUGAGGAAAAUAAUAAGACUUUAAAUGGAGCCUUCAAAGCUUGCUGAUGACAUCAGAGGAGUCACUGUGUGAUGAGAGAGGUCUCAAAAAUACUAUAAAGCACACCACAGGGAUCUGAAGAGCUCUUCUGAGCCCAGCAUGGAGCCCAGCCUAAAGCAAGAGGAGAAAACCCCAAGGUGCAGACUGAGAAAGAUCCUGGAGCCACACAGCCUGAUCCUGAGAUACUGCUUGGAUUACUCACUGAGCCCAAGGCUGAGGGCAGGAGAUGUUUUACACCACAUAUACUUCUCCCAGGGCUAUGUGCCUAUCUACAUGACCUGGGAAAGGGGGUCAAGGCUGUUCUGUUCAGGACUGAGAUACUGAUUGGCUCUGGAAAAUGUGUUUUAGGGUAGCCAGUAGGUUGAAGAUUAUGUCUUGGCCUUAGAAGUACCAAUCCAAGUCCAGAAUGUUCACACAAACUGGUAAAAAUCUGUUUCCUAGAUGCCAUGAGGAGGCCCCAGUGCUGGUUCCAGAGACCUUAAGGACAGGUGUCCUGGAGGGUUCUUAGCCACUAUGAAGACUGUAGAGAUAUUCCCAGAGUAAGAGAGGUGUUACAUCUAGAAGAGGGCAGUGGACAGCUAUAUGUCCACAUAGGAAAACAUGUCCUGAGAUGGGAUACACAAAGGGUACACAUACAGAGUCAGGAUAACAUUCAAUAUUCACUUGGCAAUGACAAUUGUCCAUGGGAGAAGAUGACUUGUGUGGUUUUAGGGAAUAGUGAUGGGGUGGAUUAGGCCUGGUUGUAGUGAUGGGGUGGAGAAGAGCAUCACCAGGUCCCUUAGGGAUAGUUUCCAAGACUUCUGGGAAGUGAGGUGGCAGAACAAGAGCAUCACUGCACACUUGAGAGUUGAACAUGAUGGGCAUGGAUAAUUGGAAGAGAACUGAAGAGGGCGGAGAAAACAGGGACUCUGGAUUCUGCAAGUCAUAGUGAUUUCCUCAGCAUUCUCUGACAAUAGGAUGCCAGCAAAGUCACCCAAAACUCAAUCAGAUUGUGAGUGACAAAUUCAGCACCAAAAUACGUUUUCACUGUGAACUGCUAUCUGGGACAGUUAAUACAAGACUAUUCAGGGAUCUCUGUUUAUACAGACAAUGAGCCAUUUGACUUUUCCCUAUUGUCUCUGUAUACAGCUUUGACUUUCACGUGGGUCUGCCAGUCUUCUUACAUAUCUUCCAUUAUUAGCUGAUGAGCACCUGUUCAAUUUCUAUUUUUUUUGGUCCCUCUAUCCAUGAUUUCAUAGUCAUAUAUCUUUGUGGAUGGCCCCUAAUACUCCCUGACAUUUACAUCCUUGUAUAGUCCCCUCCUACAUUGAUUCUUUGCUUCUUUAAAAACAAAAUUCAGUGGAAGUGAUAAUAUGUGACUUCAAAGCUAGGUCAUAAAGUCAUUGUGGCUUCCAACUUACUCCUUCUUAGAUUGCUUGUUCUGGGGGAAGCCAGAGCAUUCAAGAAUUCCUGUAAAGAAGCCCACAUAAAGAAGGAUUGAGGCUUCCAACCAUUACCCAAAACCCAACCAUUACACCAACACCACGUAAGGAAGCCACCUGAGAAGUGGAUUCCAAGCCUACAGACGGCUACAUCCCUGGCCAAUAUCUGAUUGCAGCCUUGCAAGAGAUCUUGAACCAGAGCCAUCCAGCUGCUCCUGAAUUUCUGACCCCUAGAAAGAGAGAUAAUGGUGAUCAUUGUUUUAAACCACUAAGUUUUGGAAUUACUUAUUAUGUAGCAAUAGUUAACUAAUAGGAAAGAGGACAAGAGCACAGAGGGGAAGGGCAAAGAGGCAGUGAAUCGCUCCAAGGCAGUGUGACUGAGACUUGAUUGACAAACUGGAAACAUGUGGUUGGCCAUAUUUCAGUAUUGCUAUGGACCAGUGACUCCUGUGCACCUCCCAUUUUCCCAUGUUGGUCGAAAAGUGGUUGUCCUAUGUCUCUCCCACCAACAUAUGUUGGGUGAGUUGGAGCAGAAAACUGGUCUUUUCAGUUCAGAGGUGUUCAACUCAACAGAAGCUGUACAUGAGCAGCUGAACUCAAGGAACCACACCUGCAACACUUCAUCCACAUCUAGAUCUGAGUAAAAUGGAUGGUGAACCUGAGUCUGGUGCCGUAAUAAAUGAAACCUGUGGAGGAGCUUGGGAAGGUCUGAGUGUAUUUUGCAUACAGAAGGAAUGUAGAUAAUUUGUGGCCAGUGGACAGAUGGUAGUAGUUUUAAAACAUAUUCACAAAUUCUUUGAAUCCUCCCACAAAAAGUGGAGUUUAAUUCCCUACCCUUUGAAUAUAAAUCAGUUUUAGAUACCUGCUUCUAAUUAGUAGAAUGCAGUUGAAGUGAUGUUACAUGACUUAGAAAGCUAGGUUAGAAAAGAUGAUAAAGUUCCCAUCCUGGCUCUCAGUCUGUACUUUUGCCCUUGGAGCUUUUGAAACCCAGUCAUCAUGUUGUGAGGCAGCCCAGGCCACAUAGGGAAACCACAUGUAAGUUUUCUGGCUAAUAGCCCCAGCUGAGGUUCGAGCAAUACCUUCCAAACAUGUGAGUGAGAGUGCUUUCAGAUGAUUCCAGCCUUUUGUGCUCACAGCUGAUGCCAGCUGGAGCAGAAACUAAAUUAUCCCCACCAAGCCCUGCUCAAAUUGUAGAUUUAUAAGCAAAGUAAAUGUUGUCAUUGUUUUAAAACACUAAGUUUAGGAGUCAUUUGUUAGGCAGCCACAGUAACUGUGACAAGAUCCUCUGUCUUUUCUUUCUUGGCUCCCCCAAUUUUUUUCAUCUUGGAGAGAAACCUGAGACACAUUCUGGGGUCCCUUUUCAUUAUUUUCUCCUUUGAGGUAGGGUACCAUUAGUCUCACCCAAUGGAAAAAGAAAAUGUAAAGACAUUGUCCAUUUGAGAAGGACAUGCCCAUAUUAAAUCAACUUUCAUUCUCUGUGUCAAGGGUGUAUUGUGAGAAAUUCUCCCUCAGUGUCCCAGCUCUCAUAUAACUAUGGUAACACAGCAACUGUCUCAAAGUGGCAAAUACCUUAGCGAGGUAAUCCAGUUUAUAUUUAUAACCUCAGGGAUAUUUCUCAAUAAGAGUAUGUAUUCCCAAAUGCACCAAGUACUUGAUAAAGAAUUGGACAGCAAUAGCCUUUCCUACCAUUUUUAAUAAACCUACAUAAUUCUCUAGCCAGGGGUCAUAUGCUAAUUCACCCUGUCUCUUAUGAUGCAACUUCACUCAAUAAAACUGUCAUCCCUUCUUCAUGAAAAAGGACAUCCUAAGCUUUUAAAGGCUCCUCUGCAUGUUGAUGAUAGCACUCAUGUAGGGAGCUAGAUCUCAUAUGUAAUCUGGUACCUCUUUCCAGUGAUGGCCUCCUUUAGUCCCCUGUAUAAUGUGCUAUAUGAAAUUAGUUUCAAACUGCCUCCAUAGCUGCAAUACCAGCCAUUCUUCUUUCCUUCUGGAAUAACUUCCCCUGUCUCUGAAGUGGCCAUGUGUCUUGUCCUGUUGGCAACACUGAAGGUAGUGGUAGGGGUCUUUCCCCGUGGCAUCUCCAGGAUAAGUCAUUGGUUCUACCAGCUUCCCUGGAUGCAGUGAGAGAGUCUUUCCUGUUUUCUCCCUUCUCCUAAGGGCUCAAAAAUACUUAGAAAUGCAGAGUAACCAGGGCAUCAAUUCAUGAACCAUGUUAUCUUCCCUCAUAGCCCUCUCAUAGCACUUCCACCUUCUGCCAUGUCCCUCAGGAACCAUCCUGUCACCAACCAUCCAACCUCAGCCAAGUGACCUUGCCACUGCUCCCAUGGGGAUGUCUUAUAGCCCUUUCCAGUUAGCCUCUUUCCAUAAUUUAAAAAAACCAUAAUACCAAAUCAACUGGCACUGGCAGGGACCCCAUAGUAAAUCCCAAACAUCAG